UACGGGGGGGGCAAGCGUUGUUCGGAAUUACUGGGCGUAAAGGGCUCGUAGGCGGCCAACUAAGUCGGACGUGAAAUCCCCAGGCUUAACUUGGGAACUGCGUCCGAUACUGGAUGGCUUGAAUCCGGGAGAGGGAUGCGGAAUUCCUGGUGUAGCGGUGGAAUGCGCAGAUAUCAGGAGGAACACCAAUAGCGAAGGCAGCUCGCUGGGACGGUAUUGACGCUAAGGCGCGAAAGCGUGGGGAGCAAACAGG
rnacentral:rRNA from 1 species